rnacentral:lncRNA from 1 species
AUAUUCUUCUAGAAAUGAGGGCCAGAGCUCAGAUGAGCAGAACUGGUAGCAUAUUGUGGAAAAACGAAACAUUUUGAUGUUUUAACCCCAAUAAGCUCAACUCCUUUCUAUUUGAAAACCAAUUGUUUUCAUUGACAGGGUUAAAGCAUUAUACAUGGAUCUUUGUUCCUAGUGUUUUUUUAUGGUAGUAUCAAUUAUGCUUCAGUCCAAUCCAUACUUAAAAUUUUGUUUCCCACUUGUGGAAUCUGAAAUUAUGAUUUAUUAUGAAGCAA